UAGGGAAUCUUCCGCAAUGGGCGAAAGCCUGACGGAGCAACGCCGCGUGAGUGAUGAAGGGUUUCGGCUCGUAAAACUCUGUUAUUAGGGAAGAACAAAUGUGUAAGUAACUGUGCACAUCUUGACGGUACCUAAUCAGAAAGCCACGGCUAACUACGUGCCAGCAGCCGCGGUAAUACGUAGGUGGCAAGCGUUAUCCAGAAUUAUUGGGCGUAAAGCGCGCGUAGGCGGUUUCUUAAGUCUGAUGUGAAAGCCCACGGCUCAACCGUGGAGGGUCAUUGGAAACUGGGAAACUUGAGUGCAGAAGAGGAAAGUGGAAUUCCAUGUGUAGCGGUGAAAUGCGCAGAGAUAUGGAGGAACACCAGUGGCGAAGGCGACUUUCUGGUCUGUAACUGACGCUGAUGUGCGAAAGCGUGGGGAUCAAACAGG
rnacentral:rRNA from 1 species